AUGAAGAACGUAGUGAAAUGCGAUGAGUAAUGUGAAUUGCAGAAUUCAGUGAAUCAUCGAAUCUUUGAACGCACAUUGCGCCCUCUGGUAUUCCGGGGGGCAUGCCUGUUCGAGCGUCAUUAUAACCACUCAAGCUCUCGCUUGGUAUUGGGGUUCGCGGUUUCGCGGCCCCUAAAAUCAGUGGCGGUGCCUGUCGGCUCUACGCGUAGUAAUACUUCUCGCGAUUGAGUUCGAUAGGUCUACUUGCCAGUAACCCCCAAUUUUUACAGGUUGACCUCGGAUCAGGUAGGGAUACCCGCUGAACUUAAGCAUAUCAAUAAGCGGAGGA
rnacentral:misc_RNA from 1 species